ACCUGGUCCUGACCGCCUCAUGGGUCCCGCGCAACGCCCUGCAGCUCUGGGACCUGCGCACCACUUGCCUGUGCCAAGACCUGCCCUUCCCCGGGAGCCCCACUCAAGGGGAGUUUCUUUACGGCGCCCGGUUCUGCGCAAGGGACAUGGUGGUGGCCGGAGGCAGCGGCACUGGCGGGGCCAGCGUCAUCCACACCGGCACAGGGAAGGUGGCUGGAGAGAUCCUGCUGCCCAGUAAGCCGGUCCAUGUGGUGGCAUCGGCUCCUGGAGGGACCACGCUUGCUGUGGCCGGUGCUGGAGGGAACCUCCACCUUGCGCAGCUCCACUAAGGCUGCUCUGCCCUGGAAGGCAUGAGCAACCUCCUCCCCAGCAGCAGAAGGAAGAUGAAGGAGCAGAGGCCAGUUAGAACUUCUAAGUGAAGCUGCUUCUGUGACCCCAGGUUCCCACUGUUUUUCCCCCCACCAUCACCCCACAACAGCAUUGGAGUGGGGCAGCCUCAGCCAUGUGCAAUAAAGUGACCUGAGCAGA